GACGUAGGGCGCGAGCGUUGUCCGGAUUUAUUGGGCGUAAAGAGCUCGUAGGCGGCUUGUCGCGUCGACCGUGAAAACUUAGGGCUCAACCCUAAGCCUGCGGUCGAUACGGGCAGGCUAGAGUUCGGUAGGGGAGACUGGAAUUCCUGGUGUAGCGGUGAAAUGCGCAGAUAUCAGGAGGAACACCGGUGGCGAAGGCGGGUCUCUGGGCCGAUACUGACGCUGAGGAGCGAAAGCGUGGGGAGCGAACAGG
rnacentral:rRNA from 1 species